CGAGUCCAUUCCCCCCAACACGAAAAUUAUUCACGAAAAGCCCCGUCAAUCACGCUAAGCCACGCCCAUCACCUGUAAUAUAUUCAAGAGCGCUCACGCUCAUUGGCUGUUAGGAUUUAACCACGCCCCUUAACCACUCCCUACCUCCCCCCCUUCCCCUCAGCACUCGCCUCCUGUUCCGCCCGCAGCGCGCGCGCGUCGCGUUUCCUCCGCUCCACCUCGGCCGCCGCCUCGUCCCGCCGCACCCGCGCCACAUUGUCUUUGUUCCGCACGUGCCACGACUUCUUCGGGAGGAUGUUCAUGGCGGCGGCGGCGGCGGCGGCGGGGCCGGCAGCGGCACCAGGCCGCGACUCUAAAGCACGGAGCCUGCACCGCGCUCCUUUCCGCCUUCUCGGUUCUGAUUGGUCGAGGCCGCUGUCGCUCCGCUCUUAACUCGCUCUCUGAUUCGUUCGGGCUUUUAGCUCCGCCCCUUGGCCGCUCUGAUUGGCUGAGAGUUAUAAUCCCGCCUUCUUCCCGCCUCUGAUUGGCUCGCUCGCCUCCCUCAGCGGGGCGAAGCCGGAAGUGGAGGUUUCCCGCCCUCUCGCAUGGUGGGAGCGCCGCCAUAUUGAACCAAUCUCCUUGGGAACUCCCGGCCCCAGUUCUUUCCGGAUUUCAAGGGUUUGCUGCAAGAUUUGCCUCAUUUCCCCCAAAGAUUCACCUCAGGGCCUUGGUGGUCCGGCAGGAUCAGGGCCGUGGCCGCCGCCAGGAUGAGCAGGGGCACAAGAUGGAGGCAGAAAUGCACCGAGGCCCAAAAUCGCAGCGUGGCCUCGGCCUCCCGCAGCACGAAACCCAUGCUCAGGGCCGCCUCGGCCGCCGCCUCUGCCGCCAGCCACAGCGGCACGGUGAGGAAGGACAGGCUGCUCCACGGAGAGGUCAAUUUGCACCCCCAAAAUUCGGUUUGUGCCCCCCGAAUUCCCUAAAGCUCAGCUCCCAGUGCCUCAGUUUUCAUCUUUAUCCCUCUCCCAGUGCCUCCCAGUGUCCCCAGUUCCUCCCAGUGCCCCCAAAU
rnacentral:lncRNA from 1 species